AUUGAACGCUGGCGGCAGGCCUAACACAUGCAAGUCGAACGAGUGGCGGACGGGUGAGUAAUGUCUGGGAAACUGCCUGAUGGAGGGGGAUAACUACUGGAAACGGUAGCUAAUACCGCAUACCAUCAGAUGUGCCCAGAUGGGAUUAGCUAGUUGGUGGGGUAACGGCUCACCAAGGCGACGAUCCCUAGCUGGCCUGAGAGGAUGACCAGCCACACUGGAACUGAGCAACGGUCCAGACUCCUACGGGAGGCAGCGGUGGGGAAUAUUGCACAAUGGGCGCAAGCCUGAUACAGCCAUGCCGCGUGUAUGAAGAAGGCCUUCGGUUUGUAAAGUACUUUCAGCGGGGAGGCGUUACCCGCCGAAGAAGCACCGGCUAACUCCGUGCCAGCAGCCGCGGUAAUUC
rnacentral:rRNA from 1 species